UACGUAGGGUCCAAGCGUUAUCCGGAAUCACUGGGCGUAAAGCGUUUGUAGGCGGAAAUUUUAAGUGAGAUGCGAAAUCUUGUGGCUCAACCAUAUAGACGGUAUCUCAUACUGGGUUUCUAGAAGAUAGCAGAGGUAAGUGGAAUUAGUAGUGUAGCGGUAAAAUGCGUAGAUAUUACUAGGAACACCAAUGGCGAAGGCAGCUUACUGGGCUAUAUUUGACGCUGAGAAACGAAAAGCGUGGGGAGCGAACAGG
rnacentral:rRNA from 1 species